rnacentral:misc_RNA from 1 species
AAAUGCGAUAAGUAAUGUGAAUUGCAGAAUUCAGUGAAUCAUCGAAUCUUUGAACGCACAUUGCGCCCGCCAGUAUUCUGGCGGGCAUGCCUGUUCGAGCGUCAUUACAACCCUCAGGCCCCCGGGCCUGGCGUUGGGGAUCGGCGGAAGCCCCCUGCGGGCACAACGCCGUCCCCCAAAUACAGUGGCGGUCCCGCCGCAGCUUCCAUUGCGUAGUAGCUAACACCUCGCAACUGGAGAGCGGCGCGGCCACGCCGCAAAACACCCAACUUCUGAAUGUUGACCUCGAAUCAGGUAGGAAUACCCGCUGAACUUAAGC